CCUGCUUGAUGAUUCUGAUGCUGUCGUAUGCUCGUAAGGCGUUAAUGCUCGGUUGAAAGUUAUCUUCUUCCGGGUUAUCGUCUCGGAAAGUUCUUCGAAACUGGGGAUAAAACGUUUUGUAAAGAUUAGUACCCUCGUCAUAGUAGGUCUUGAUUCCUAAAAUGCCUUGCAUGGAAGAAAUCACAGAACUGUUAAAAGAAUCGAAGUAACUCGAGAUGGUAUCCGUAAUGAUCCAAGCUGAGUCUCUUCCAACAAGUCCAAUGUCCUUUGCUUUCUCAAACAAAUGGAUUGUCAUCGGUAAUGACGAUUGAAGAACAAUGUAAACCCGAGAUUGAACGUUGAAUAAUUUUAUCAACUCAUCUUGCACAACUUUAUUUGGAUUAGAAACAGAAGAAAGUGGAGGAAGAACCAAUCGAUAUUCAAUCUCGGAACCAACAUCGCGUAGAGCCUCCGAUAAAAGAGCUAACUUCCCAGAAUCACCACCAAAGGCAUCAUCUUCAUAAAUUACAACAACCCUUUUCCAGUUAAAUGAACUGAUAGUAGCUGCAAUGCAUUUCAUUUGUUCGGAGUCACCAUUAGCCAUUGCUACCAAGAAAGGCCAACGAGUGGGUGUUAUUAUAGCUGGUGCUGCAAAUGAAAGAACCGGAACUCGAGCUCGGCUUCCUAUAUCAGCAACCAAAGCUGCUUCUUCCCAUGUUUCCAACCCAAUGAUUGCUUUAACUUCUUGUUCUUCAAUCAAUUUCUUAGCUGUAAUCAGAUUAACCAUUAGUAAAUGUUAAAUAAACCUCGUUGACAUACUAAUUAAGGGAUCACUAAAAAGAAUGAAUCACUAACCAGCAGUAGCUGCAAGUAAGGGAUCUCUUCUAGAAUUCUGAAUAUAAAGGGAGAGCUUAUGGUUGUUUGAAACGUUGUUAUUGAAACUCUGAACUGCUAUUUCCAAAGCUGUUUUCUCUUCUUUUCCGAUUCGAGAAUCGACGUCGAUGAUGGCACCGAUGUUAGUCACCUUGUUAUCGGUCUCGUCACCAUAUGAAGAAACGAGAAAGAGAGAUAUGAACACAAAAGUGAUACAAGGUCGUUGCAUGUUGUUAGGGAACUCGUAAAAUAAUUGCAUAUAUGAUACAUAUAGGAACUCAAAGCGUUUAAAUAAUAAUGAAAAAAGAUUCGUUUAAAAGCCGUCACUAUGGAAAUUUAUGCCCCGGAACUUUUGGUCUAUAUGUUGGACUUGGUCUGCCAUGAAAAAAGUCAGCUAUGUUUACUUCGUUAAAUGAUAGAGAAUCUUCAUGAAACGCCCCCCUUUUCUUUUUCUGGUUUUCCUGCAAAUUGUGGAAAGUUAGAGAUUUGACCCAUGAAAACUAGGACCAAAAUCAUUUCUGGAAAAAAAAAAUUAACGGAUAAUGAUAAAUUUAAAUCUAAAUCUAAAUCUUUGUAUCUUUUAUUUUAUUUAUUUGAUUCUUAUUUCUUUUUAACUAAAUUUGAUUUUUAACUUUUUAAAAAAUGUAAAAUUAUCUUUUUAACGGAAAUACAACUAAAAUAAUCAUCUUUUAAAGGAAAAAUGCUCAAAUUAGGGCUUAACAAUUUAGAUAUUGCUCACAUUUCAAAAUGGUCAAAUGAGACCCUAACCUUUAUGAAAGUUUUCAAUAGGGAUUUUUCAUGUACUUCAAUCCAAUUUGUAGGAAAAAUUAAGUAAAUAUUGAUGUGUUUAGAAUAAAACAUGUAACACCUGCAUUAAAUAUUGCUUGAAAAGAAAAGAAAAGAAAAGAAAAGAAAAGAAAGUAGUUAGAACAUAACUUGGAACUUGAUAUACGGCAUUUGAGAAUCUCUUAUUUAAGCAGUUUUGAAAAUGUUAGGCCCUUAUUUGAUCAUUUUGAAAGGUUUGACUUUCAUUUAAGCACUUUUGUACAAGUUAUGCCAUUACAUGACCAUUUUAAAAAGUUUGAUCAUUAUAUGAGCAACCCUUAAAAGGUUGGGCCAAUUUAAGCAUUUAACAACUUUUUAAUGAUGUUGGCGUGGCAACUAGCAUAGUAAUCCAUGUUUACUCUAUGUUAAUAUGGCACUAUUUAUCUUAUGUCACGUCAAUAAAUAAUUAUAAAAUUAUAAAAAUAUUUAAAAAUAAGAAGUUAUAAAAAAAUUAAAGGUUUUAAUUAGUAGUUCCCUUAAAAAAUAAUAAUGUAACUCAUUUUUUGGAAGGUUGAUUGUCAAAUUUAGCUCUUUUUAAAAGGUUUAGAGUUAAAUUUAGCUAAAAAAUAAAAUAAAGGUUAAACUAACAAAAAGAUGUAAAGGUUAAGUACUAAACAUAUAUCAUUAUGCUAAAAAUAAACUUAUUGAUUUAUAUUAGAAGAAUAAAACAAAUGAAAUUAUGUUACAGGUAACAGUAUACAGUUGCAAGAGCCUUCAUUGCUCUUCUUCGGUCUUUUAACCUCCUGGAAUGUACAGCAUUUCAACAUCAGCAGCUUCGGAGGAGGCGGCUUCAUGAUUCUCGGCUGCAUCGGGACUCGAAUAUUUCCAUCUCGGAGAUCCUCGUCCAACAAUUUCCGGCAGUUGAGGCCGAGUUUGGUCUAUAGCAAAAUUAAUUUGUUGUCCUUGGUAUAUAAAUCUAGCAAGCCUAAUUGCCUUACUCCAGAUACUAUUAUUUCUUGGACUAGUAUUGCUUCCAUAUUGGUCUUUUAUUAUCUUGAUGAUGAAUAAGAAGAAACAAAUGGUAGAUGUUGCACCAGAGAUUAUAUAGAGACCCCAGAAGCUAUGAAGCCUCAGUCUUUCGGUUCGAUUGUCGGUCACACUGGUUGAACACUCGGGUGAGGGUGCAAACCACUUCUCUUCAAGAUCUUUCAGCGCUCCGUUUUCCGAUAGAGUUAGGAUAGCUUUUGAGAAGUCCAUGGCGAUUGGAGAGCCUUUAUGGAACAUCUGCAUAGGUAAGAUUUUGUUUAAGUCCAUGGUGCUGAAAUGGAUAGAAACAAGUUUGGAAAAUACUACUUACAAAUCCCAAUCCUCCAAAUCUGUAGGUUGGUGUGGUGGCUGAAAAUUUCUUACAGUAAUUGUUGAUGAAGACCUUUUCGUAUGGAAGUUCGAGAAAUGCAGCAGCGAUGUGCUUCUUUUCGAAUUCUCCUAUAUAGUUGUCUUGGCUGUUGAUUGUCUUGAUGUUCUCCGAUUUAAACUGAAGCACAUCGACUAGAUAGUUUCUUACGAACGAAUCUCCGUCGCAACCUACUUUCAAGUUGUUCCUCUUCAGAAAUUCGAUGUCUGUCACAUUCACUUUCAGUUUAUUAACUGUCAACAUCGAGGAAAGACUAGCCGUGUAACUCGAGGUUAGGACAAGUGAAACAAAGAGCCAAACAAUAACCACAACUCUGGUGAAGUUGUUUUGUACAUUCUCCCCUGCAAAAAAAUGAGCAUUACUUGUAUUGUGAGUAUGCUUGAAUGUUUUCAAUCGCAUGCAGUUUCUGGUACUUACUAUGCGCGAAGAAGAGAGAAGAGCAAGUGAACCACAUCGCGGUUCCGAUUUGAGUCUUCCAUGUGCCUUCAAAUUCAGGAUUGGACUGAUGUUCCAGGAACCAAACUAUGAACAUUGUGUAGAUCAACAUGGCACCAGUAGCCAUCCACAUCUCCCAUGUAAAAGGCUUCAUGAACAUCCAUGCUGAUUCUUCGGAUUUUGCUGGUACGAUCAUGGACAACCCCGAUUCUGCAUAUGGCUGAGUAAACUCCACAAGUUCUGCUCUGUUGGCUAGUAUCGUUAUAUCCCCAACAACAGCAUCGAAAGUCUUCCAUGUGAAGCAUUUGUUAGACAAGAUAAUGAUAAACAUUUAACAAGGACUUGGAAAUUAGUUGAAAGAGUUCCCAUUCAUUACCUUGUUAUGCACGCAACGGACCAAAUCAUCGUAAGUGCUGAAAUGCGGUACAAAUUUGUAAGGCAGGUCAUAACCGAGAACCUCUCGUGCCAUUUUGAAAAGAUCAAUGCAAUAACCUUCAGGUUCCUCAUUUUGAUUACUUUCAUUUUUAACUUUCACAAAUUUCUCAAAAGAGGUUCUACCAGGAACUCCGAUAAUCAAUGGCCUUGCAUCCGUAGGCAUCGCCCAUCCUUUCGGGUUUCGGACUUGGUUCAAGUCAGCAGGCCAGGUGACUUGACCAUACAAUCCUUGAGCUGUAUUACCAUCAUGUUCAGUUUCUUCAUUAACAAGGCUCCUUGAGAAUCCAAAGCUUGGCAACCAAAAGUCAAGCUCUUUAUAUUUCUUGCCAACCACGUUUACUAUUCUCAAUGUAGGAUUGUGUGACAACAUGCCCCUUUCAAAUUGGAUUUCUCCACUUAAACCAGUGAAAUUGCUUGACAGGAUUUUUUCAGACAAUUGUUUUGAACUGAUAUUAGUGUUGAUCAUUCCUUCCAUAGCCUCGGUGAUGAUUUGGAUUGCAUCGUAUGCUUUUAAAGCAUAAAUUCCGGGUUCAAAGUUGUCUUCGUCCUCGUACUUUUUUCGGAAAACUUGCUUGAACUGCCCAUAAAAGCUUUCGUACUCGCUACUAUUCUCGGUAUAAUAGGUCUUGAUUCCUAAAACACCUGCCAUGGAUGAAAUUAUGGAGGUGUUGAAAGAGUCAAGGUAAGUUGUGAUUUUAUCUGUGAUUAUCCAAGCUGAAUCUCUUCCCAUAAACCCCAUGUUCUUAGCUUCUUCAAACAAAUGAAUGGUCAUAACUGAUGAUGCUUUAAGCACAACAAAAACCCGAGAUUCAAGGCUAAGAAGCUUCAUUAGCUCCUCCUGCAUAACUUCUUUGGUAUUAGACAGAGAUGAAAUUGGUGGAAGAACCAAGGUAUGUUCGAUUUCGGAACCAAUAUCUUGUAAAGCUUCGAUUAGAACAGCUAAUUUCCCAGAAUCACCACCAUAUGUUUCAUCUUCAUAAAUGGCGAUGACCUUUUUCCAUCCAUAUGAACGAAUGAUAGCUGCAAUGCAUGUCAUUUCUUCAGAGUCAUUGUUAGCCAUUUGUGCCAAGAAAGGCCAACGGAGAGCCGACAAUGGCAACGUUAUAGAAGGUGCUGUAAACGAGAGAACUGGAACUCGAGCUCGUGUCCCGAUUUCAGCAACCGGAGCCGCUAAUUCCCAUGUUUCCAAGCCGAUAAUGACCGUCACGUUGUUCUCUUUAAUCAGCUUUUCGGCUGCAACAGAAUUAAUUCCUUGUUACCAUAACUUAAAAAACAAGCAAUCAAUGAAUCAAUACUAUGAACAAAUCUGGUACAUGAAAUUACUACAAACCUGCAGCAGCAGCUAGCAUGGGGUCUUUUCCAUGGCUCUGAACAUAGAGGGAUAGCCCGUGAUUGUUCAACUUAUUGUUGAAGCUUUGAACGGCGAUUUCCAUGGCGGUUAUCUCUUCCUUCCCAGUACGGGACGUAACAUCGAUUACGGCACCAAUGUUUGUAACUUUAUGAUCAUCCUCCUUAGCUUGAACUCCUUUAGAGAUGAUAUUGAUGCAUGAAAAUAAGAUCAGUACCAGGAUGACGAGCUGACGUAUUAAAACUGUAUCAAUGUUAGCCAUUGUAUGAAGUCUUUGCAUACUGUUUUGGAACAUAUUACAAAAUAUCUUGAAUCAUGAUAAAACCAAACUAUGCUUUUAAGUUGUUUUAUGCUGAAUAAAAUUUGUGGCUAUAGUUUUAUUAAGCAAUUAAGACAUGUUACGGAAACCCAAAUAUCUGGUCCAACUAAUGUAAUGAAAUGUCUUAAAGUUGAUCUUCUCAAAGGAAAAAAGUCAACUGCAUUUACCUUGCAACUCAAGUUAUCUUGAAUCUAGAUUGUAGGAGUUGACGUGGCUUGGUUUUGAUUCAGUAUUUCAAGAAGCAAGAAUAUUCUGACCAAACAGGAUACUUACUAGGAUUAAACUUGGAAGCGUGUUGGUAGGGGUGAUAAANNNNNNNNNNNNNNNNNNNNNNNNNNNNNNNNNNNNNNNNNNNNNNNNNNNNNNNNNNNNNNNNNNNNNNNNNNNNNNNNNNNNNNNCAAAAGAAAAUGAUCAAAAUAUAUAUAUUUUAAUUUAUAAUUAAUUUUAUAUUUUUUAAUUAAAACUUCUUGAAUUUUUAUAUAUUUUAGUUGGAUAAUUUUGUAUGUUAUGUAAUUCAUUUAAUUUUGUAAAAAUUAAUAUAAUAUAAAGUUUAUUAAAUAUUUUGUAUAAUAUGUAUUUCAUCGGGCACUUGGGCUUAGAUUUGUUCAUGGGUUGGGUCACUCAACCCGACCUAAAGGCCUAUUUGAAAAGUGAGAGGGUUUGGGUAAAAAUAUGAGUUCAAAAAAAUAAGGCCCAUUUAGAAAACAAGUCGAGCCUCGAGUAAGAUUUUUUUGGCCCUAGUCAGGCCUGACCCAAAAAUUCAAAAAAAGAUGAUAUUUUUUCACUAUUUUGCUAUCAUUUCAUUAUUAUGUUACUAUUAUGUUGUUGUUAUUGUAUAACUCUUAUUUUAUUGUUAAUUUUGUUACUAUUUUAAGGUAUUUGCUUGUUAAGUUGCACCUAUCUUAGUGCUAUUUAAGUAUAUAUAUAUUUAAAUUUAUUUUCAAUUUGUUGGGAAUUAUUUAUAUUAAUGUUUUUAGUAUUUUUUAUAUAUAUUUUAAAAAAAUAUAUAAAACUUUAAUAUAAAUAGGGCGGACUCGAGUUUUAACAUUUUUAUCCAAACUGAACUCAAGUAAAAUUUUAAGCCCACUUUUUAGGUCAGACUUGGCAAAUAAGUCUAAAAUUUUAGUUGUACUAACCUGACCGAUUGACACUUUUACUUGGGCUUAUUGAUUAAAGAUUUGACUUUUAGGCUGAAUUUAUCUAAAUUUAUAUAAAAAUUUAAUUUGUUUUUGAUAGAUUUGUAACAAAUGCCCAAUGAUUGUUGGGCUUGGAAACCCUAAACCGAAGCGAGAGCAAAGCUUAAUAAAAAGCCCGUUUAGUUACAUUACUGAAUUUCGAUUCAAUUUCCCUCGAAUCGGGAAAAGUAAAACUGAGCUUAAAAUUAUGGCGCAGUUCUGAAAACCGGGAACCGAGAAGCCCCGCCUCGUCGAGGACAAGGAUGGCGGUGUUAUUUUCUUGUCAUCUUCUUACUCUUCAUCUUCUUCUGGGUAUUUUUUCUCUCACUAUUUUUUAUUUAAUUUUUGUUCUUUGAUUGUUCUUCUUUUGUCUUUUCUCUUCCUUAUUUGUUUUUCCUUAUUUUACAGAUAUGGGUACGUGAGCAUUGAGAAGCAAAGACAGAGGCUUCCAGUUUAUAAGUAUAGAACUGCUAUUCUUUAUUUAGUGGAGUCUCACGCUACUACCAUUGUUGUUGGUGAAACGGGUAGUGGUAAAACCGCUCAAAUUCCACAGGUUUUCUCUCCUUUUUCUUUAUUUAAAAGUAAAAUCUUGAACUGUUUACUUGCCUCCCUCUUUGUGAUUUGAAGUUCAUUCUGAAUCUUUUGUUGCUAGGAGUCUUGACUAUAAUAUGCUUGAAUUGCAGUUUUUAAAAGAAGCUGGUUGGGCUGAUGGUGGGCGUGUUAUAGCUUGCACGCAACCAAGACGACAAGCUGUGCAGGAAGCUUUGAACUCCUAUUCGUCUGCAUUUUCAUCUUUUUCAAGUGAAUGUAAAUGUAACAUUCAUUUCUAAUCAGAUGUGUGAGUCCAUGCCAUAGCAUAUAAUAUUCGUUGUCCGAGUAACUAACAUAAAAAAUUAUUCAUUUUAUAUUUAAUUUAUGAGCAAACAUGCAUAUAAUAUAAUAUACAAUAUUUCAGUUCAUACCAGUUUACGAAAAUUAUAUUGCUAACAUGAGAUUGAAUUAAGAUCAAAUUGUAAUGAUUUUAAAAUAUGAAGUUGACAUUGUGACUUUAAGAGCUUCUCGUCGUGGUGCAACUUAUUGACUAAAUUUCGUCGUGACGAUAAAAGUCUAACAUCAAGACGUAACCGUCUGUUUCUAAAUGGUAUAAUUUGACGCCUAACAAACUUCACAUAUAAAACCAUUCCAAAUCAACUAUUUCCCAUUUCAGCCAAAUAUACAAGAUUCAAAGGCUUAAUUCCAUACACUACUACCUUAAUCACUAAUGUACUAAUACGAUACAAUGAUUCCAUCAAUACCAUAUAACUUGUAAACUAAAAUCAUAGUAUAAGCCACUCAAGCAUUUGGUAUGAAUAUACAUCUUAAAUUUGACCGUGACCAUUUCCAUGUUAUGCAUUCCAAAUUUUAGCAUACUCAAUUUCAUAAUUCAACUAUGUGACUAAUUUCAAAAACAUUAAUUCUAACUUUAUGAUUAAACAUAAUCACUUAUCGUGUUAUAAAUCGACUCAAUUUAAGUACAUGUCAUAUAUUUAUAUUUAACAAAAAAAUUAUACAAAUUUUGUUGAGUCGAGGAUUGCUUCCUUUACGCUAAAGUUACUUUUCAUAAUCUUGAAGUCCACCUGUACUUGCACACAGAGAAAACAAGCCGUACACUCAAUGAUAACGCUCAAUAAUAUUUUCAUAAUUCAAAUCAUUAUAAUACAAGUUUAAACCAAUUGCAUUCAUUCAAUUCAUAGCCCAUCUUUAUACAAUUUCAUGCCCAACAACUUUCAAUACAAUAUAAACAUGCACAUAAUUAUUUUAAAAAAUUAAUUCACUAUGUAUGCAUACCAACUUGUCAUUUACCAUUCAAUUCACAUACUACCAAAUCAAUUCGCUAUGUAUUCAUCUAUACUUAGAUUUUGCUAAUAUUUUAUGUCUGUCUGUAUGUCUAGAUGUACACGUGUUAUGGGAAUUCCAUUACAAGUAUAUUUUGAUACGUUGCACUACAGUGGAUUUUUGACCUGUUAUUAGUUGUCACUCUGUUUACAUAUGUGUUUCAGGAAAAUUACAAGCAAAAUAUUUCGAUUUUUCUCCACAAGAUCCAUAUAAGAAGGCUGGCUAAUAUAAUUUACACUACAGCUGGAUUUCAUCUAACCGAGAUUAAUCUUUUGUUUUGUCAAUUGUGAGCCUGCAACUGUAUUCCAAUCUCAGAUUCUGUUUGUGAUUUAACCUCAUGAUUCUCCAUGCUUAUAUGAGAUGAACUCCGAUCAUAAUCCCAUGUCUGUGAGCUCCAUUUAUAGAUAACUGGUACUCGGGGUGCUGCCGAAACUUCCCCUCGAACACAAACUUUCCCCUUAUAAAUGCAUUUAGCAACUCUCAUUGCCUUGUUCCAAACACUCUCAUCAACUAGAGACAAGGUACCAGCAUUAUUCUCCUCCUCAUGGUGCCAAUAUCGCUUUAGCGAGUAAGCGAGGAAGAGCAGCAAACAAACAGUAGAUGUGGCCACGGAUAUAAGGAAAAGACCCCAGAAGCUAUGGAUGCUCAAGCUAUUGGUUUUACUUUCCUCGGUUACGUCGGCCGAACACUCCGGUGAAGGAGCAAACCAUUUUUGUUCCAAUGAUAUUAGAGUCCCAUCUUCAGAUAACUUUAAAAUGGCUCUUGAAAAAUCUCUGGCUAUUGGAGAACCUUUCUGAAAUAUCUGCAUAUAUAUAAAGAGUUGCAUUACAUUUAUUUCUAUAAAUUUUUGCAGCAAAGAUUCACCAAGUUAGCAAUAUCAUAUACUCACAAAGCCUAAUCCACCGAAUGUGUAUGUAGGUGCGGUAGUGGUAAAUUUCUUGCAGUAAUGGUUAAGGAAAACUUUCCCAUACGGCACUUCAAGAAAUGCAGCAGCUAUAUGGUUGCUCUUGAAUUCCCCUUCAUAAUUGUAUUCACUGCUAACGUUUUCGAUAUUGUAACUUUUAAACUUGAGGACAUCUUCCAAGUAGGUUCUUACGAACGAAUCACCAUCACACCCGAUUUUCACGUUGGACCGCUUUAGCCAUUCAAUAUCCGUAACAGUCGGUUCUAAUCGUUGCACGGUGAGCAUUGAAGUUAGACUAGCAGUGUAACUAGAGGUUAAGAUCAACGCAACGAAUAGCCAUACUACAACCACAACUCUAGUUAGGUUACUGUAAAUUUUCUCCCCUGAAGAAGGAAAAUAUGAACUGUUUUAGCCUCGGCUAAAUUUUCAUACGUAAAGAAGUAUACAUUUUUGCAGUGGAACUUACUGUGAGCAAAGAAAAUGGAGGAGAAAGUGAACCAAAAUACAGUGCCAAUCUGAUUGUUCCAUGGACCUCUAAAGUCAGGAUUGGACUGGUGUUCUAAGAACCAUACUAUGAACAUUGUGUAGAUUAAGAUGGAACCGGUGACAAACCACAUUUUGGUGGUGAAAGGCUUGAGGAACAUCCAUGCCGAGCUCUCCGGCUUCACCGGAACUAUCAUGGAUAACCCUGAUGCUGCAUAUGGCUGAGUAAAUUCCACUAAAGUUGUUCUAUUAGCUAGUAUAGUUAUGUCACCUACAGCUGCAUCAUAAGUCUUCCAUUGAUUUUGGUAUACACACAUACAAAAAAAAAAAAUUAAUAGAGACAAAACAAGCAUCUAAAUCAAGUAGGUGAGUGUCAUAGUUUCUUUUUCACAUCAUUGUCUAAAUAUCAACUAAAAGUUUGACAAGUUAUCUACGAAAUUCCUGGAAAUAUAAUGGAAUUAUAUAAAAUUUCAGGAAAAACAAAUCAAGGUAAUUAAAAUAAGAACAAGAAGUUUCAGGGCUAUUGCCUUGUUGUUUUACUUUGUUGGCCUUGUUAAAAGGUUGCUUUCACUGUAGCUUGUAAGAAACUCUCAUUUUUUUGUUUAAUAAUGAUAAAUAAAUGGUUCAUUACACUUGAAAUUAUGGUUAAAUUAUAUGAAUAUUUUCUGUCAUAAUCACAAAAAUUGAGAUUAUUAACAAAAAAAAUAUUGAAAAAAAAUGGACCAAGAGACAAAGGGCAUUUUACCUUGUUGUAGACUUUGUGAACAAGUUCAUCAUAUGUGCCAUUGUGGGGAUCAAAUUGAUAAAUUAAAUCAUAAUCGAGAACAGUUAGAACUUCAUAGAAAAGUUCAAUGCAGAAACCAUCAUAUUUCUUUUGGCCUGGAUGUUUACCAUCGUCAACCUUUACAAAUUUCUCAAAUGCGGUUCUUGCUGGAACUCCAAUUAUCAUUGGUUUCUUAUUUGUUGGCAUUGCCCAUCCUUUAGGAACUAGCUUUGAACCAUCUGGCCAAAUGACUGUACCAGUAAAAUCUGCAGAUUUAUUACCAACAUAACCAAUGUUCUUUGAGAAUCCAAUCCCUGGUAACCAGAAAUCCAACUCAUUAUAACUUUUUCCAAUCAAGUUUACAAUCCUUAGUAUAGGAUCAUGUGAUAAUUUGCCUUGUUGAAAGUGAAUUUCGCCGCUUAAACCUGUGAAAUUGCUUGAAAGUAUGUUUUUCAACAACGAAUCUGGACUGUUUUCAUCACUGUCCAUGGCCUGCUUGAUGAUUCCUGUAGAAAAUUGAUCAAUAUUUGGCGUUAAUGCUCGGUUGAAAGUUAUCUUCUUCUGGGUUUUCGUCUCGGAAAGUUCUUCGAAACUGGGGAUAAAACGUUUUGUAAAGAUUAGUACCCUCGUCAUGGUAGGUCUUGAUUCCUAAAAUGCCUUGCAUGGAAGAAAUCACAGAACUGUUAAAAGAAUCGAAGUAAUUCGAGAUGGUAUCCGUAAUGAUCCAAGCUGAGUCUCUUCCAACAAGUCCAAUCUCCUUAGCUUUUUCAAACAAAUGGAUUGUCAUCGGUAAUGACGAUUGAAGAACAAUGUAAACCCGAGAUUGAACGUUAAAUAAUUUUAUCAACUCAUCUUGCACAACUUCGUUUGGAUUAGAAACAGAAGAAAACGGAGGAAGAACCAAUCGAUAUUCAAUCUCGGAACCAACAUCGCGUAGAGCCUCCGAUAAAAGAGCUAACUUCCCAGAAUCACCACCAAAGGCAUCAUCUUCAUAAAUUACAACAACCCUUUUCCAGUUACAUGAACUAAUAGUAGCUGCUAUGCAUUUCAUUUGUUCGAAGUCACCAUUAGCCAUUGUUACCAAGAAAGGCCAACGAGAGGGUGUUAUUAGAGCUGGUGCUGCAAAUGAAAGAACCGGAACUCGAGCACGGCUUCCUAUAUCAGCAACCAAAGCUGCUUCUUCCCAUGUUUCCAACCCAAUGAUUGCUAUAACUUCUUGUUCUUCAAUCAAUUUCUUAGCUGUAAUCAGAUUAACCAUUAGUAAAUGUUAAAUAAACCUCGUUGACAUACUAAUUAAGGGAUCACUAAAAAGAAUGAAUCACUAACCAGCAGUAGCUGCAAGUAAGGGAUCUCUUCUAGAAUUCUGAAUAUAAAGGGAGAGAUUAUGGUUGUUUGAAACAUCGUUAUUGAAACUUUGAACUGCAAUUUCCAAAGCUGUUUUCUCUUCUUUUCCGAUUCGAGAAUCGACGUCGAUGAUGGCACCGAUGUUAGUCACCUUGUUACCGGUCUCUUCACCAUAUGAAGAGACGAGAAAGAGAGAUAUGAACACGAAAGUGAUACGACAAGGUCGUUGCAUGUUGUUAGGGAACUCAUAAAAUAAUUGAAAAUAUGAUACAUAGAGGAACUCAAAGCAUUUAAAUACCAGUGAAAAAAAGAUUUGUUUAAAAGCCGCAGCUAUGGAAGUUUAUGUCCUAUAACUUUGGGUCUAUAUGUUGGACUUGGUCAGCCAUGAAAAUAGUUGACUAUGUUUAUUUCAUUAAAUCAUUGAGAAUCUUCAUGAAACCCCCCCUUUUCCUUUUUCUGGUUUGCUGUUAAUUGUGAAAAGUACGAGAUUUUACCCAUGAAAACUGAUCAUUUCUAAAACAAAAAUAAAUAAUAAUAUUAACAUCUUUUAUUUAUUUGUCUCUUAUUUUUUAUAGUAAAAUUUGAUUAUUAAUAGUUUAAAAAGUACUAACAUUAUAGAAAAUUAGGCUUUUAGCGGCGUUUUUAGUGACGUUUAAAUAAAAAAAGCUGCAAAUAUAUAUCAUUAGUGGCGCUAACAAAAAAAUACUGCAAUAGCGGCGUUUAUGGGCAAGGCUUGAGGAACAUCCAUGCCGAGCUCUCAGGCUUCACUGGAACUAUCAUGGAUAACCCUGUUUCUGCAUAUGGCUGAGUAAAUUCCACUAAAGUUGUUCUAUUAGCUAGUAUAGUUAUGUCACCUACAGCUGCAUCAUAAGUCUUCCGUUGAUUUGGGUACACACAUAAAAAAAAAAAAGAAGAAUCUUAUUAGAGACAAAACAAGCAUCUAAAUCAUAUAGGCGAGUGCCAUAGUUUCUUUUUCACAUUGUCUAAAUAUAUACUCAAAGUUUGACAAGUUAGCUACGAAAUUUCCUGGAAAUAUAAUGGAAUUAUAAGAGAUUUCAGGAAAAACAAAUCAAGGUAAUUAAAGUAAGAAUAAGAAGUUUCAGGGCUAUUGCCUUGUUUUACUUUGUUGGAUUUCUUUCACUGUAACUUGUAAGAAACUCUUUUUUAUUUGUUUAAUAAUGAUAAAUAAAUAAUUCAUUACGCUUGAAAUUAUGGUUAAAUUAUAUGAAUAUUUUCUAUCAUAGUCACAAAAAUUGAGAUUAUUAACAAAAAAAUAUUGAAAAAAAAAUGGACCAAGAGACAAGGGCAUUUUACCUUGUUGUAGACUUUGUGAACAAGUUCAUCAUAUGUGCCAUUGUGGGGAUCAAAUUGAUAAAUUAAAUCAUAAUCGAGAACAGUUAGAACUUCAUAGAAAAGUUCAAUGCAGAAACCAUCAUAUUUCUUUUGGCCUGGAUGUUUACCAUCGUCAACUUUUACAAAUUUCUCAAAUGCGGUUCUUGCUGGACCUCCAAUUAUCAUUGGUUUCUUAUUUGUUGGCAUUUCCAUCCUUUAGGAACUAGCUUUGAAUCAUCUGGCCAAAUGACUGUACCAGUAAAAUCUGCAGAUUUAUUACCAACAUAACCAAUGUUCUUUGAGAAUCCAAACCCUGGUAACCAGAAAUCCAACUCAUUAUAACUUUUUCCAAUCAAGUUUACAAUCCUUAGUAUAGGAUCAUGUGAUAAUUUGCCUUGUUGAAAGUGAAUUUCGCCGCUUAAACCUGUGAAAUUGCUUGAAAGUAUGUUUUUCAACAACGAAUCUGGACUGUUUUCAUCACUGUCCAUGGCCUGCUUGAUGAUUCCUGUAGAAAAUUGAUCAAUAUUUGGAGAAAUAAAACAAAGAAAUUGAUAAAUAAUAUAAUGAAAAGAGAAAUAAUUUUUUAUGGAAGAAAGAAAACACCCUUUCUAAUAAAUUUUUAUUUCACUCACACUUAAAAAUUCUUCAUCACAUACAACUCUUUAUAUAGGAGUUGUAAAUGACUAUUCAUCUACAUGAGGAGUCUACAUGAGGAGUUGUGACUAUUCAUUUACAUAACUUAAAUGCUAUAGGAGUACUUGUAACUAUUCAUGUGUAUAGCUUUUUAUCUUCAAGUCUCUUCACUCUUCAUAACUUUUCAUAAUUUAUUUGUGCAAGAUUAAUUUAAUUAUGUGCCAACAAUGCCUCCCUUCAAUUAAACUUGCUUCGAACUCCCAACCUUUCAACAUUUUUCUUAAAGACUUGUCCACUUAGCGGUUUUGUGAAGAUAUCAGCCAUCUGAUCUUUUGUCUUGCAAUAUUCAACUUGAAUAUCACCAUUAUUCACUAGUUCCCUCAAGAAGUGAUACCGAAUGCAAAUGUGUUUUGUCCUUCUAUGAAGAACUGAAUCUUUUGUGACCGAAAUAGUAGAACUAUUGUCACAAAACAAAAUCGUUGACUUACUCUGCUUCUGCUUAAGACUUUCCAAAAUUCCACGUAACCAAAUCAAUUGACGUCCUGCAUAAGAUGCAGCGAUAUAUUCAGCUUCUGUAGUCGAAAGCGCCACAAUUGAUUGUUUCUUUGAGCUCCAUGAAACUACACCACUACCAAGGUGAAAAACAUAACCAGAAGUGCUUCUGCUAUCAUCAAUGCUUCCUGCUAAAUCACUAUCCAUAUAACCAAUGAGAUCAACUAAUGUAUUAGCUUUAUAGAAAAUUCCAUAAUCAAUGGUUCCCUUCACAUAUCUCAAUAUUCUCUUGGCAACCUCCCAGUGAUUGGAGUAAGGUUUCUCCAUGAAUCUACUCACCAAGCUAACAACAUACAUGAUGUCAGGCCUUGUCGAAGUCAGAUACAUCAACUUCCCAACCAAACUUUUGAAUAUGGUGGAAUUGACAAGCUUUCCUUCACCCUUUUUAGAUAACUUCAGACCUGUAAUGCAUGGAGUAGAGACUGGAUUCGCAUUUUUCAUCAUGAACUUUUUUAGAACUUCCUUUGCGUAGCUCUCUUGUGAAAUAAAAAUUCUUUUUUCGGAUUGAUGAACUUCAAUGCCAAGAAAAUGAUGAAGUUCUCUCAAAUUUGUUAUCUUAAAUUCUGCCAUCAUUGAGUGCUGAAAUUCUUUCAACAUUUUCACAUCAUUUCCUGUGAAAAUAAGAUCAUCAACGUAGAGACUUACAAACAUGAAUCUUCCUUGAGAAUUGCCUUUGAUGUAGAGAGUAUACUCAUAUGGAGAUUUCUGGAAUCCACAUUGCAAAAUCAGAAUAUGCCUUGCUUUAUUGGUGCUCAUAAAGGAGUUUCAAAGUUAUGGCAUGAUAGAUAUGGACAUUUGAACUAUGGAAAUUUGGUAAAUGCUUUCAAGGAAGAUGAUGGUCAAAGGUUUACCAAAAAUCGAUCGGCUUGAUGAUGUUUGUGAAGCAUGUCAACUUGGAAAGCAACACAAAAUUGCUUUUCCUUCUCAAUCCUCGUGGAAAGCAAGAAGUCACAGGGUUACAGGGAUGCCCCUCGGGCAGAAAAACACAUUAUGAAUGCCAAGAAGUCACAGGGUUACACGAAUGUCCCUCGCAAGUCAUCCGUAUCAGAUGUAAAAUCAUCUCGGCGGCCUAUUAGUUUCUUUGAAAGUGACAGAGAGGAGUCUAAGUAUGAAACUGAAGGGGAAGAAGAUGAGAGGUCUGCACACAAUAGGAUUGAGGACGAGGAGCUAGAAUAUGAAGAAUCGGAGGAAGAGGAAGAGGAAGAGCGCUAUGAAGAGGCAGAUGCUAACGCUAACAGAGCUUCAAAGGAGGAAGAGGAAGCUGAGGAGCCUAGGCAAAAAGUGAAGGAGUCUGUUGGCAGCAGUAAGCGCAAGGGAAUCGAGUCGAAUGAGGACUCACCUCCUAGAAAAGCUCCCACACAUCGUCACAUGGCAGUUGUUUAUGAUAGUGAUGAGGAAUGAAACAAGAUUACAGGGGAAAUAAUCGUAUCCUCAAACAAUGAACUAUUGACACACAACUUUGGUGGCUGGAAAGGAUGUUGGAGUUGAGCUUGCUGCUUACUUCACUGAGUUAUAUAACACUGCUGGAGACAACUUAAGGUUUAAAUGUUAAUUGUAUUUUCACUCCCCUUUUCUGAAAUUGUUAUAUAUGACUUCCAAAUUAAGUUGAGCUCAGAAAAGUAAUUGCUUUAGAAUUUGAGGAAAAGAAUUGCAGGCAAGUUAUUAUUUUUCUAUCCCAUAAUGUGAAAACUUGGUGUUAUAGACUCUUUAAAAAAAAUUUGUAGAAAAUUGAUCAAUAUUUAGAGAAAUAAAACAAAAAAAAUGAUAAAGAAUAUAAUGAAAAGAGAAAUAAUUUUGUAUGGAAGAAAGAAAACACCCUUUUUAAUAAAUUUUUCAUUUACAUAACUUAAAUACUAUAGGAGUUGUAACUAUUCAUGUGUAUAACUUUUUAUCUUCAAGUCUCUCCACUCUUCAUAUUCAAGUCUCUUCACUCUUCAUAACUUUUCAUAAUUUAUUUGUGCAAGAUUAAUUUAAUUAUGUGCCAACAAUUCCGAUGCUGUCGUAUGCUCGUAAGGCGUUAAUGCUCGGUUGAAAGUUAUCUUCUUCCGGGUUUUCGUCUCAAAAAGUUCUUCGAAACUGGGGAUAAAACGUUUUUUGUAAAGAUUAGUACCCUCGUCAUAGUAGGUCUUGAUUCCUAAAAUGCUUUGCAUGGAAGAAAUCACCGAACUGUUAAAAGAAUCGAAGUAAUUCGAGAUGGUAUUCGUAAUGAUCCAAGCUGAGUCUCUUCCAGUAAGUCCAAUCUCCUUAGCUUUUUCAAACAAAUGGAUUGUCAU
rnacentral:lncRNA from 1 species